rnacentral:rRNA from 1 species
CCUACGUGAUGCUGCAGUGGGGAAUAUUGGACAAUGGGGGGAACCCUGAUCCAGCGACGCCGCGUGAGUGAAGAAGUAUUUCGGUAUGUAACGCUCUAUCAGCAGGGAAGAAAGAAAUGACGGUACCUGACUAAGAAGCCCCGGCUAACUACGUGCCAGCAGCCGCGGUAAUACGUAGGGGGCAAGCGUUAUCCGGAUUUACUGGGUGUAAAGGGAGCGUAGACGGCGAUGCAAGUCUGAAGUGAAAGGCGGGGGCCCAACCCCUGGACUGCUUUGGAAACUGUAUGGCUGGAGUGCAGGAGAGGUAAGUGGAAUUCCUAGUGUAGCGGUGAAAUGCGUAGAUAUUAGGAGGAACACCAGUGGCGAAGGCGGCUUACUGGACUGUAACUGACGUUGAGGCUCGAAAGCGUGGGGAGCAAACAGGAUUAGAUACCCCAGUAGUC